UUAAGUUAUUAAGGGCGCACGGUGGAUGCCUUGGCACUAGAAGCCGAUGAAGGACGUUACUAACGACGAUAUGCUUUGGGGAGCUGUAAGUAAGCUUUGAUCCAGAGAUUUCCGAAUGGGGAAACCCAGCAUGAGUUAUGUCAUGUUAUCGAUAUGUGAAUACAUAGCAUAUCAGAAGGCACACCCGGAGAACUGAAACAUCUUAGUACCCGGAGGAAGAGAAAGAAAAUUCGAUUCCCUUAGUAGCGGCGAGCGAAACGGGAAGAGCCCAAACCAACAAGCUUGCUUGUUGGGGUUGUAGGACACUCUAUACGGAGUUACAAAGGACGACAUUAGACGAAUCAUCUGGAAAGAUGAAUCAAAGAAGGUAAUAAUCCUGUAGUCGAAAAUGUUGUCUCUCUUGAGUGGAUCCUGAGUACGACGGAGCACGUGAAAUUCCGUCGGAAUCUGGGAGGACCAUCUCCUAAGGCUAAAUACUCUCUAGUGACCGAUAGUGAACCAGUACCGUGAGGGAAAGGUGAAAAGCACCCCGGAAGGGGAGUGAAAUAGAACCUGAAACCGUGUGCUUACAAGUAGUCAGAGCCCGUUAAUGGGUGAUGGCGUGCCUUUUGUAGAAUGAACCGGCGAGUUACGAUUUGAUGCAAGGUUAAGCAGUAAAUGUGGAGCCGUAGCGAAAGCGAGUCUGAAUAGGGCGUUUAGUAUUUGGUCGUAGACCCGAAACCAGGUGAUCUACCCUUGGUCAGGUUGAAGUUCAGGUAACACUGAAUGGAGGACCGAACCGACUUACGUUGAAAAGUGAGCGGAUGAACUGAGGGUAGCGGAGAAAUUCCAAUCGAACCUGGAGAUAGCUGGUUCUCUCCGAAAUAGCUUUAGGGCUAGCCUCAAGUGAUGAUUAUUGGAGGUAGAGCACUGUUUGGACGAGGGGCCCCUCUCGGGUUACCGAAUUCAGACAAACUCCGAAUGCCAAUUAAUUUAACUUGGGAGUCAGAACAUGGGUGAUAAGGUCCGUGUUCGAAAGGGAAACAGCCCAGACCACCAGCUAAGGUCCCAAAAUAUAUGUUAAGUGGAAAAGGAUGUGGCGUUGCCCAGACAACUAGGAUGUUGGCUUAGAAGCAGCCAUCAUUUAAAGAGUGCGUAAUAGCUCACUAGUCGAGUGACACUGCGCCGAAAAUGUACCGGGGCUAAACAUAUUACCGAAGCUGUGGAUUGUCCUUUGGACAAUGGUAGGAGAGCGUUCUAAGGGCGUUGAAGCAUGAUCGUAAGGACAUGUGGAGCGCUUAGAAGUGAGAAUGCCGGUGUGAGUAGCGAAAGACGGGUGAGAAUCCCGUCCACCGAUUGACUAAGGUUUCCAGAGGAAGGCUCGUCCGCUCUGGGUUAGUCGGGUCCUAAGCUGAGGCCGACAGGCGUAGGCGAUGGAUAACAGGUUGAUAUUCCUGUACCACCUAUAAUCGUUUUAAUCGAUGGGGGGACGCAGUAGGAUAGGCGAAGCGUGCGAUUGGAUUGCACGUCUAAGCAGUAAGGCUGAGUAUUAGGCAAAUCCGGUACUCGUUAAGGCUGAGCUGUGAUGGGGAGAAGACAUUGUGUCUUCGAGUCGUUGAUUUCACACUGCCGAGAAAAGCCUCUAGAUAGAAAAUAGGUGCCCGUACCGCAAACCGACACAGGUAGUCAAGAUGAGAAUUCUAAGGUGAGCGAGCGAACUCUCGUUAAGGAACUCGGCAAAAUGACCCCGUAACUUCGGGAGAAGGGGUGCUCUUUAGGGUUAACGCCCAGAAGAGCCGCAGUGAAUAGGCCCAAGCGACUGUUUAUCAAAAACACAGGUCUCUGCUAAACCGUAAGGUGAUGUAUAGGGGCUGACGCCUGCCCGGUGCUGGAAGGUUAAGAGGAGUGGUUAGCUUCUGCGAAGCUACGAAUCGAAGCCCCAGUAAACGGCGGCCGUAACUAUAACGGUCCUAAGGUAGCGAAAUUCCUUGUCGGGUAAGUUCCGACCCGCACGAAAGGCGUAACGAUUUGGGCACUGUCUCAACGAGAGACUCGGUGAAAUCAUAGUACCUGUGAAGAUGCAGGUUACCCGCGACAGGACGGAAAGACCCCGUGGAGCUUUACUGUAGCCUGAUAUUGAAAUUCGGCACAGCUUGUACAGGAUAGGUAGGAGCCUUUGAAACGUGAGCGCUAGCUUACGUGGAGGCGCUGGUGGGAUACUACCCUAGCUGUGUUGGCUUUCUAACCCGCACCACUUAUCGUGGUGGGAGACAGUGUCAGGCGGGCAGUUUGACUGGGGCGGUCGCCUCCUAAAAGGUAACGGAGGCGCUCAAAGGUUCCCUCAGAAUGGUUGGAAAUCAUUCAUAGAGUGUAAAGGCAUAAGGGAGCUUGACUGCGAGACCUACAAGUCGAGCAGGGUCGAAAGACGGACUUAGUGAUCCGGUGGUUCCGCAUGGAAGGGCCAUCGCUCAACGGAUAAAAGCUACCCCGGGGAUAACAGGCUUAUCUCCCCCAAGAGUUCACAUCGACGGGGAGGUUUGGCACCUCGAUGUCGGCUCAUC
rnacentral:rRNA from 2 species